rfam:Octopus bimaculoides Scaffold117746_contig_7, whole genome shotgun sequence.
GCCCGCAUAGCUCAGUCGGUAGAGCAUCAGAUUUUUAUAGGUCAACCUUAGAAGUAAUCUGCGGGUCGCGGGUUCGAGUCCCUCUGUGGGUG